rnacentral:lncRNA from 1 species
CUGCAGUAGCAGAGAAUACUACUUCCAUGGGAUGUAGUGGUAUGCCCGAACGGUGCACGCCACUUGUCCAAAAGCAGCUGCAACGGCGAAUCCAUCGCUCUGUCUUGGCUCAGUUUCUGCGUGGCCGUGCAGUUGCAUUUUGUGCAAAAAAAAAAAUAUUUACUCGUCUGUUGGGCGUUGUUUUACUCACAGACGGCAGCAAAGGGCGGUGAUGGCGUAGGUAACAUCACCACUCCCCGGUUGGGUGGCGGGAGAUUGGAAUUGCGAUAAAGGUAUUCGGACCCUUCAGAUACAAUUUUCUCGUAAACUAAGUCAUUUCUUGGCACAAAACAAGCGUUACGAGGUUUCUGGAAUGGUAUUUAAACAGUCCACAUUGGACUUAGUAUUUGCUUUUUGAGUCCCCUUAAUAGAUGAAUACCCAAGAAAUAUGCUUUAAUUGGCAAUGUCUAUGAUAAGCUGCAAAGACCGUGUAGUUGCUUGGUCAGAAACAAUUUAAUCUACUGCUGGCCAUAGCGUGCAUUACUCUUAAAUGGGAGUAGAGUUGGUGAUCUGAACAUAUUGGUAGACGAUUGCGUUACAGCUCACUUUGAGUGUUGUGCAGCUGGGCUUUAAUGCACUGUGCAGCUUUUUUUUUUUUUUUUUCUUUUUCGUUUUUUCUCUCGCUAUAGUCAUUCCCUCAAAACUGAACACACCUCAUUUUGCUAACUUCCUGUGGCAGUCAAACUGCCUGCAGCCCUGUGUGCACUUUUCUCUGAACCCAGCAUUAUGUCAAAAAGAACCCUCUGCUGUUUCCGAAUGUGCCAAAUGGAACAUUGUUUCCCCCUUCCCCCCCCCCCCCCCUUUUUUUUUUUUGUUGACCAUGGCAUCGUCUCUCGAAGCCCGACGGGUAUCCUCAUUGGGCAAGCUGUAAAAAAGUAAACAUGGUGGUCGUGCAACGGGAUGUUGAACCACAGUUCCUAUUUUGAUGGUUUCGCCGUUCUCCCCCAUGGCCCCAUAUUUCUCUUCCUUUUGUUCAUGUAUGGCCAUCACAUUUGUGUUUAUGUCCCGUGUUAGACAACCGGUAGCGCCCUCUUGUGACUGGAGACGGCGUGAUUGUGGUGGUUGGAAUCUUGCAGCUCUUCUUUGCUAAUUGGGAGAGAGAAAAAAAAGUGUGUGAAUGCAUGUCCUUAAUUGUUUUCAAGCACUGCAACACAAGCCAGUGUUUGUCGAUCACUACUUAAGAGAUUGAGUGCGUGGCCUGGAUGAGUGAUUGGAGUGUGUGGUAUUACAUCUCGUGAUGGGAUAAAAAACAACUGGAGUCAAGCAUCACGACAAAAGGCAGCCGCUUCUGGUGACUGGAAAGACUUUUGCUCACCGCAUUCUUUCGCGUGCAACGUCUGAGGAUGAUGUCCAGCGUCAAGCGGAGGACUAGAGAUGUGGUAGAGAUGUGUUGUUCUCUGUGGUUUUUCUGGAGGGGGAAUGUCUGCACUUUGAUGAGCAUACUAGAGUGACAAGUUGGAAACCACUUUGUGUGAGAUUCCAUUCUAUUUUUCUUUUGUUUUUUUUUUUUCUUCUUUUUUAAUUCCC